CAAGUUUUUAAGGGCACACGGUGGAUGCCUUGGCAUUAGGAGCCGAAGAAGGACGUAGGAAUCUGCGAUAAGCCUGGGGGAGUUGAUAACCGAGCGUUGAUCCCAGGAUGUCCGAAUGGGGAAACCCCGCACAACGCUGCAAGGUGAUUGUGUGACCCGCAUCUGAACACAUAGGGUGCGUGGGGGGAACGCGGGGAAGUGAAACAUCUCAGUACCCGCAGGAAGAGAAAACAAUAGUGAUUCCGUUAGUAGUGGCGAGCGAACGCGGAUCAGGCUAAACCGUUUCCAUGUGUGAUAGCCGGCGGGCGUUGCAUGGGCGGGGUUGUGGGACUUUCCGUUCUGGUUCUGCCGGACCAGUGGGGUGAUGUGCGUGCAUAGGUGAACGGUCUUGAAAGGCCGGCCAGAGAGGGUGUGAGCCCCGUAACCGUAAUGUUGUGUGCAGCCUGGAGAGUAUCCCAAGUAGCACGGGGCCCGAGAAAUCCCGUGCGAAUCUGUCAGGACCACCUGAUAAGCCUAAAUACUUCCUAAUGACCGAUAGCGGACCAGUACCGUGAGGGAAAGGUGAAAAGUACCCCGGGAGGGGAGUGAAACAGUACCUGAAACCGUGUGCUUACAAUCCGUCGGAGCCAGUCUGAUUCUGGUGACGGCGUGCCUUUUGAAGAAUGAGCCUGCGAGUUAGUGUUACGUCGCGAGGUUAACCCGUGUGGGGUAGCCGUAGCGAAAGCGAGUCUGAAUAGGGCGAGUGUAGUGGCGUGAUCUAGACCCGAAGCGGAGUGAUCUACCCAUGGCCAGGUUGAAGCGACGGUAAGACGUCGUGGAGGACCGAACCCACUUCAGUUGAAAAUGGAGGGGAUGAGCUGUGGGUAGGGGUGAAAGGCCAAUCAAACUCCGUGAUAGCUGGUUCUCCCCGAAAUGCAUUUAGGUGCAGCGUUGCGUGUUUCUUGCCGGAGGUAGAGCUACUGGAUGGCCGAUGGGCCCUACAAGGUUACUGACGUCAGCCAAACUCCGAAUGCCGGUAAGUGAGAGCGCAGCAGUGAGACUGUGGGGGAUAAGCUUCAUAGUCGAGAGGGAAACAGCCCAGACCACCAACUAAGGCCCCUAAGCGUGUGCUAAGUGGGAAAGGAUGUGGAGUUGCGAAGACAACCAGGAGGUUGGCUUAGAAGCAGCCAUCCUUGAAAGAGUGCGUAAUAGCUCACUGGUCAAGUGAUUCCGCGCCGACAAUGUAGCGGGGCUCAAGUACACCGCCGAAGUUGUGGAUUUCACACAUUGCCCUAGCCUUCGUGGUUCAGGGGUGUGGAGUGGUAGGGGAGCGUCGUGUGGGCAGUGAAGUCGCGGUGUAAACCAGCGGUGGAGCCUACACGAGUGAGAAUGCAGGCAUGAGUAGCGAAAGACGGGUGAGAAACCCGUCCGCCGAAUGAUCAAGGGUUCCAGGGUCAAGCUAAUCUGCCCUGGGUAAGUCGGGACCUAAGGCGAGGCCGACAGGCGUAGUCGAUGGACAACGGGUUGAUAUUCCCGUACCGGCGAAAAACCGCCCAUGCCAAGCGGGGGAUACUAACCGCCCGGAGCCUGCCCGCUCACCCUUGUGGUGUUGUGGGUUUUGGCCGAGCGCGGGACCUGAUCCUGGGAGGUAAGCGUAUUAACAGGUGUGACGCAGGAAGGUAGCCGGGCCGGGCGAUGGUUGCCCCGGUCUAAGGAUGUAGGGUCAGGGAUAGGCAAAUCCGUUCCUGUGUGCUUCGAGCACGUGCCUGAGAUCUGAUGGGACUCCCGUAAGGGGGGAUCCGGUGAUCCUAUGCUGCCAAGAAAAGCAUCGACGCGAGGUUUUAGCCGCCCGUACCCCAAACCGACACAGGUGAUCAGGUAGAGAAUACCAAGGCGAUCGAGAGAAUUAUGGUUAAGGAACUCGGCAAAAUGCCCCCGUAACUUCGGGAGAAGGGGGGCCUGCCCCGUGAUGGAGACUUGCUCUCCGUGAGCGGGUGUGGGCCGCAGAGACCAGGGGGAAGCGACUGUUUACUAAAAACACAGGUCCGUGCGAAGUC
rnacentral:rRNA from 1 species